ACUCCUACGGGAGGCAGCAGUGGGGAAUAUUGCACAAUGGGCGCAAGCCUGAUGCAGCCAUGCCGCGUGUAUGAAGAAGGCCUUCGGGUUGUAAAGUACUUUCAGCAGUGAGGAAGGUGGGUAUGUUAAUAGCAUAUUCAUUUGACGUUAGCUGCAGAAGAAGCACCGGCUAACUCCGUGCCAGCAGCCGCGGUAAUACGGAGGGUGCGAGCGUUAAUCGGAAUUACUGGGCGUAAAGCGCAUGCAGGUGGUUUGUUAAGUCAGAUGUGAAAGCCCGGGGCUCAACCUCGGAAUUGCAUUUGAAACUGGCAAACUAGAGUACUGUANAGGGGGGUAGAAUUUCAGGUGUAGCGGUGAAAUGCGUAGAGAUCUGAAGGAAUACCGGUGGCGAAGGCGGCCCCCUGGACAGAUACUGACACUCAGAUGCGAAAGCUGGGGAGCAAACAGGAUUAGAUACCCUGGUAGGCGU
rnacentral:rRNA from 1 species